CUUCUGGAAGCUGGUUUCACAUGGUGCCUUAGAUUUCCCCAUCGCAGUAUCUAGCACCAUUUGAAAUCAGUGUUUUAGGAG
ensembl:miRNA